rnacentral:rRNA from 1 species
CGCGCUGUUCUAUUUUGUUGGUUUCUAGGACAGCCGUAAUGAUUAAUAGGGACAGUCGGGGGCAUCAGUAUUCAAUUGUCAGAGGUGAAAUUCUUGGAUUUAUUGAAGACUAACUACUGCGAAAGCAUUUGCCAAGGAUGUUUUCAUUAAUCAGGAACGAAAGUUAGGGGAUCGAAGACGAUCAGAUACCGUCGUAGUCUUAACCGUAAACGAUGCCGACUAGGGAUCGGACGGUGUUAUUAUUUGACCCGUUCGGCACCUUACGAGAAAUCAAAGUGCUUGGGCUCCAGGGGGAGUAUGGUCGCAAGGCUGAAACUUAAAGAAAUUGACGGAAGGGCACCACCAGGGGUGGAGCCUGCGGCUUAAUUUGACUCAACACGGGGAAACUCACCAGGUCCAGACACAGUGAGGAUUGACAGAUUGAGAGCUCUUUCUUGAUUCUGUGGGUGGUGGUGCAUGGCCGUUCUUAGUUCGUGGGGUGACUUGGCUGUUUAAUUACGAUAACGAACGAGACCUUAACCUGCUAACUAGCCCGUAUUGCUUUGGCAGUACGCUGGCUUCUUAGAGGGACUCUCGGCGCGA